rnacentral:rRNA from 1 species
CCUACGGGUGGCAGCAGUGGGGGAUAUUGCACAAUGGGGGGAACCCUGAUGCAGCGACGCCGCGUGGGUGAAGAAGCGCCUCGGCGCGUAAAGCCCUGUCAGCAGGGAAGAAAAUGACGGUACCUGAAGAAGAAGCCCCGGCUAACUACGUGCCAUCAGCCGAGGGAAUACGUAGGGGGCAAGCGUUAGCCGGAUUGACUGGGUGUAAAGGGGGCGCAGACGGCGAUGCAAGCCAGGAGUGAAAGCCCGGGGCCCAACCCCGGGACUGCUCUUGGAACUGCGUGGCCGGAGGGCAGGAGGGGCAGGCGGAAUUCCUGGUGUAGCGGUGAAAUGCGUAGAUAUCAGGAGGAACACCGGUGGCGAAGGCGGCCUGCUGGACUGCAACUGACGUUGAGGCCCGAAAGCGUGGGGAGCAAACAGGAUUAGAUACCCCAGUAGUC